CCUGGGCGAGUUCGCUCGCCACCAGGACCCAACCAUAAACCUUUUUUUAUGCAGUUGCAAUCAGCGUCAGUAUAAUAAUUCAAUUUAUUAAAACUUUCAACAACGGAUCUCUUGGUUCUGGCAUCGAUGAAGAACGCAGCGAAAUGCGAUACGUAGUGUGAAUUGCAGAAUUCAGUGAAUCAUCGAAUCUUUGAACGCACAUUGCGCCCUUUGGUAUUCCAAAGGGCAUGCCUGUUCGAGCGUCAUUUGUACCCUCAAGCUUUGCUUGGUGUUGGGCGUCUUUUUGUCUCUCCCCUUGUUGGGGGAGACUCGCCUUAAAACGAUUGGCAGCCGACUUACUGGUAUUCGGAGCGCAGCACAAAUUUGCGCCUUCCAAUCCACGUUGCGGCAUCCAGCAAGCCUUUGUAUUCUAUAACAAAUCCACAUUUGACCUC
rnacentral:rRNA from 1 species